rnacentral:rRNA from 1 species
GAUGAACGCUAGCGGGAGGCCUAACACAUGCAAGCCGAGCGGUAGAGAUUCUUCGGGAUCUUGAGAGCGGCGCACGGGUGCGGAACACGUGUGCAACCUGCCUUUAUCUGGGGGAUAGCCUUUCGAAAGGAAGAUUAAUACCCCAUAAUAUAAGAAACGGCAUCGUUUUUUAUUGAAAACUCCGGUGGAUAGAGAUGGGCACGCGCAGGAUUAGAUAGUUGGUGAGGUAACGGCUCACCAAGUCAACGAUCCUUAGGGGGCCUGAGAGGGUGAUCCCCCACACUGGUACUGAGACACGGACCAGACUCCUACGGGAGGCAGCAGUGAGGAAUAUUGGACAAUGGGUGAGAGCCUGAUCCAGCCAUCCCGCGUGAAGGACGACGGCCCUAUGGGUUGUAAACUUCUUUUGUAUAGGGAUAAACCUUUCCUCGUGAGGGAAGCUGAAGGUACUAUACGAAUAAGCACCGGCUAACUCCGUGCCAGCAGCCGCGGUAAUACGGAGGGUGCAAGCGUUAUCCGGAUUUAUUGGGUUUAAAGGGUCCGUAGGCGGAUCUGUAAGUCAGUGGUGAAAUCUCACAGCUUAACUGUGAAACUGCCAUUGAUACUGCAGGUCUUGAGUGUUGUUGAAGUAGCUGGAAUAAGUAGUGUAGCGGUGAAAUGCAUAGAUAUUACUUAGAACACCAAUUGCGAAGGCAGGUUACUAAGCAACAACUGACGCUGAUGGACGAAAGCGUGGGGAGCGAACAGGAUUAGAUACCCUGGUAGUCCACGCCGUAAACGAUGCUAACUCGUUUUUGGGUUUUCGGAUUCAGAGACUAAGCGAAAGUGAUAAGUUAGCCACCUGGGGAGUACGUUCGCAAGAAUGAAACUCAAAGGAAUUGACGGGGGCCCGCACAAGCGGUGGAUUAUGUGGUUUAAUUCGAUGAUACGCGAGGAACCUUACCAAGGCUUAAAUGGGAAAUGACAGGCUUAGAAAUAGGCUUUUCUUCGGACAUUUUUCAAGGUGCUGCAUGGUUGUCGUCAGCUCGUGCCGUGAGGUGUUAGGUUAAGUCCUGCAACGAGCGCAACCCCUGUCACUAGUUGCCAUCAUUAAGUUGGGG